AUAAAGCUUAGCAGGCUUAGAAUUCUGUGCCAGUAGCUAUCCUACGGAGCCAACAGGACUCUCUUCGGAAGACAGCUGGAAAGGAAUGCCAUUUUCCACUAGGAUUGGGAUCGUUUUGUCAAAAAGGAGGAACAGAAGGACACCAUUUGGAAACAUUGGUUAUAUUACUUUGACUGGAAGGUCCUAUUUGAGAGGCACAUGCAUAGACUCAGCUAUCACCAGACAGCUUUAAGGAAUUAAGGUUGACUUUAUGGAGCCAACAGAGCCUGACAUCUUGGAAAUGUUAGCCUGAUACCUUGCUUACAGAGUUCCUAGCAGCCUUACCAGGUCCCGGGCCAAUUGGUCCUCAAAUUGCUUUCUUAGUCUGGCUCUAUUUUGCAAACGAAUGAACUCCAUUGCCAGUUGGUAUAUUGCCAGUGUAGGACAGCAGAGAGAAACUGAAGGCUGAGAGGAAGUGGGUAGACAUGCUCUGCUCCAUCUCCUUGAUGGCGGCGCCUUGAUUGGCAGCAGUUGCGUUUCUUAAUGGCACUCCAGCUCCGGAAAGGUGACAUGGCCCCUGUGCUCUGACCGUGCUGCCUCUGCCUUUUGUCCCUUCAGGCUGAGAUGGGGGAACUAGUGGGUGGCCGUUGUUGCUAGCCUCUGGAUGGUGUGGCUGUCCUGUUGGGCUUCUCAGUUUUUCAUCUCCUGUGUAACCGUUCCCCCUCAAUAAAGUCCUGCUGUUUUAAAAAUU